GGGCCCGUAGCUCAGCCAGGUAGAGCAGCGGGCUCUUAACCCGACAGGAUGGUGCAGCUGCACCAUCCUGGGUAGAGGUCCGGGGUUCGAAUCCCCGCGGGCCCGCCA
rnacentral:tRNA from 1 species